CUGUAUCUUCCCUCCCCCACCUCCUGUUUGCUCUGAUUUCAGAUCCUAAACAUCACUGUGAAAGCCCCAGCCUGCUGCUGAGCCAGCUGCUGCCCCACAUGGAGAAGAUGGGUUCCCAUAUUGACAUUCUGGAGCAGUCACUGAAUUCAGCAAGCAUGUACUGAGCAGCUAGUAUAGACUGGGCUGCUUCUCUGGACUUGUGUGAUCAUCUGUGAAACACAACCAGGACUUCUAACUAAUGAUGACUUCUGAGGCCCCUUCCAGCUCUAACACAGGCAUGGCGUGAUAUUAGAUUGAAUCUCAGUGGCCCUGAGUCAC
rnacentral:lncRNA from 1 species